AUGCACGACUUCUGCUUCACGAUCCCCUACGGGUUCGCGGUCCUGGCCGGCGGCCUGCUGGGCUACCUCCGCCGCGGCAGCACCGCGUCCCUGGCCGGCGGCGCCGGCGUGGGCGGGCUUCUCCUCCUGGCAGGAUUCGUCAGCCUCAAGGCCUUCGAGAAGCGCCGCAACUCCUACCUCGCCCUCGCACUCGAGACCCUUUGCGCACUGGCCUUGACCUUUGUUAUGGGGCAAAGAUACCUUGAAACUUCAAAGAUAAUGCCGGCUGGUGUCGUUGCUGGUCUCAGUGCUCUGAUGUCGGCAUUCUAUCUAUUCAAAAUUGCUACCGGUGGCAACCAUUUCUCGCCAAAGAAAGAGUAG
rnacentral:rRNA from 1 species